rnacentral:rRNA from 1 species
GGGCCCGCACAAGCGGAGGAACAUGUGGUUUAAUUCGAUGAUACGCGAGGAACCUUACCCGGGUUUGAACGUAGUCAGUCAGUUUCCGAAAGGAGAUUUCUAGAAAUAGCUGAUUACGAGGUGCUGCAUGGUUGUCGUCAGCUCGUGCCGUGAGGUGUCGGCUUAAGUGCCAUAACGAGCGCAACCCUCACUGUUAGUUGCCAUCAAGUGAUGUUGGGCACUCUAUCGGGACUGCCGGCGUAAGCUGUGAGGAAGGUGGGGAUGACGUCAAAUCAGCACGGCCCUUACAUCCGGGGCGACACACGUGUUACAAUGGGAAGGACAGCGGGCAGCCAACUGGCGACAGUGCGCUAAUCUCAAAACCUUCUCUCAGUUCGGAUCGGAGUCUGCAACCCGACUCCGUGAAGCUGGAUUCGCUAGUAAUCGCGCAUCAGCCAUGGCG